UGAAUACGAGAUGCUACGGCGUCGAAGCAGUCUAUGUCAUACUUCCAAGAAAAGCUUGCACUGUCAUAAACAAAUAAUGCCUGUACCAUAACCGACACAGGUGGGUAGGUAGAGUAUACUAAGGGGCGCGAGAUAACUCUCUCUAAGGAACUCGGCAAAAUGACUCCGUAACUUCGGGAGAAGGAGUGCCUUAUUUUAUAAGGUUGCAAUAACAAGAUCCAAGCAACUGUUUACCAAAAACACAGGUCUCCGCUAAGUCGUAAGACGAUGUAUGGGGGCUGACGCCUGCCCAGUGCCAGAAGGUUAAAGAAGUUGGUUAGCAUCCGCGAAGCUGAUAACUGAAGCCCUGGUGAACGGCGGCCGUAACAAUAACGGUCCUAAGGUAGCGAAAUUCCUUGUCGGGUAAGUUCCGACCCGCACGAAAGGCGUAAUGAUUUGGAUACUGUCUCAGAGAGGGGCUCGGUGAAAUAGACUUGUCUGUGAAGAUGCGGACUACCUGCACCAGGACAGAAAGACCCUAUGAAGCUUUACUGUAACUUGAAAUUGAAAUUGGACUUUACUUGCGCAGUAUAGGUGGGAGGCGUUGAGAAUAUUCUUGCGGGAAUGUUGGAGCCAUCAGUGAGAUACCACUCUUGUAAUGUUAGAUUUCUAACUUUGUAUCAUUAUCUGGUCAAAGGACAGUUUCAGGCGGGCAGUUUGACUGGGGCGGUCGCCUCCCAAACGGUAACGGAGGCGCACAAAGGUUUCCUCUGAACGGGUAGAAAUCGUAUCUAGAGUGUAAAGGCAUAAGGAAGCUUGACUGUGAGACCUACAAGUCGAGCAGGGACGAAAGUCGGUCUUAGUGAUCUGACGGUGCUGUGUGGAAAGGCCGUCACUCAACGGAUAAAAGUUACUCUAAGGAUAACAGGCUGAUCUCCCCCAAGGGUUCACAUCGACGGGGAGGUUUGGCACCUCGAUGUCGGCUCAUCGCAUCCUGGGGCGGUAGUACGUCCCAAGGGUUGGGCUGUUCGCCCAUGAAAGCGGUACGCGAGCUGGGUUCAGAACGUCGUGAGACAGUUCGGUCCAUAUCCGGUGUAGGCGUUAGAAUAUUGAGAGGAGCCUUCUUUAGUACGAGAGGACCGAGAAGGACAUACCUCUGGUGUACCAGUUAUCGUGCCAACGGUAAACGCUGGGUAGCUAUGUAUGGAGUGGAUAACCGCUGAAAGCAUCUAAGUGGGAAGCCCACCUCAAGAUAAG
rnacentral:rRNA from 1 species